rnacentral:rRNA from 1 species
CCCGCUGAACUUAAGCAUAUCAAUAAGCGGAGGAAAAGAAACUAACAAGGAUUCCCCUAGUAACGGCGAGUGAAGCGGGAUGAGCUCAAGCUUAAAAUCUCCGUGCAAGUUUUGCACGGCGAAUUGUAGUCUAUAGAGGCGUGGUCAGUGAGGGCGCUCGGGGCAAGUUCCUUGGAAGAGGACAGCAUGGAGGGUGAUACUCCCGUUCAUCCCUGAGUGGCUUUUGCGUACGACCCGUGUUCUUUGAGUCGCGUUGUUUGGGAAUGCAGCGCAAAGUAGGUGGUAAAUUCCAUCUAAAGCUAAAUAUUGGUGCGAGACCGAUAGCGAACAAGUACCGUGAGGGAAAGAUGAAAAGAACUUUGAAAAGAGAGUUAAAGAGUACCUGAAACUGCUGAAAGGGAACCGAAUCGUUUCCAGUGUCUAUAAUCCGUGGCAUAUUUCAUUGGCGAGUGUGUGCGUGCGUGUGCUGUGGCAGUGGCUUUUUUGGCUGCGCUCGGCGUGUGUGCUGUGUGUGCUUGUUGGUGCCCUGUGGUGCGGUGGGACGUCAAGGUCAGUUCGUAUGCUGCGGGAAAUGGCUGCCGAGGAGGUAGGGCUUACGCUCCGCGUUUGUCUGUUAUAUCUUGGUGGACGAGUAGUCGCGGUUGGGACUGAGGUGCCUACAACGUGCUUUUGAGUGUGUAUGGGUCUCCGUGUGCGCCGUGUGCGGAUAGCUUGCUAUGCGUGUGUGGUUGUGUGUGGAUUGAUGCGUACUGUAACUUGUCGCCGUUCGGGACGUUGACGAAAUGGAGCGAUCCGACCCGUCUUGAAACACGGACCAAGGAGUCUAACAUGUGUGCAAGUGUUAGGGUGUGGAAACCCCAGCGCGAAAUGAAAGUAAAGGGCAGCGCAAGCUGUCUGAGGUAGGAAACGUUGCGGGCUUCGGCCUGCGGCGUGGCACUAUCGACCGAUCAUGAGCCUUCGUGGUGAAAGAUUUGAGUUUGAGCACAUAUGUUGGUACCCGAAAGAUGGUGAACUAUGCCUGAGUAGGGUGAAGCCAGGGGAAACUCUGGUGGAAGCUCGUAGCGAUUCUGACGUGCAAAUCGAUCGUCAAACUUGGGUAUAGGGGCGAAAGACUAAUCGAACCAUCUAGUAGCUGGUUCCCUCCGAAAUUUCCCUCAGGAUAGCAGCAACUUAUUUACGAUAGUUUUAUGAGGUAAAGCGAAUGAUUAGAGGAUUCGGGGAAGAAACUUUCUCGACCUAUUCUCAAACUUUAAAUCUGUAAGACCUGCAGGUUUCUUAAUUGAACUUGUGGAUGUGAAUAUCAAGUUGCUAGUGGGCCAUACGGGGUAAGCUCGUCUGGCG